AGUGCCUGGGUACGGGAAAGGAAAAUGAAAAACUCUGACUUAAGCCCUAUUUGCAUUGGAUUAGUUUUACAUGGAGAUGUGAAAUAAUAUAAAUACUUGUGCAGUAUCUUGGAUUUUUGGUCCUGUCUGAACACCUUAUAAAGACACUCCUGAAACCAUUCCUUUAUUUAACAUCAACAACACCUCUCGGGGUUUUCGGGUAGAUGUUAUGGGGUUAAAAUUAGGGCUGCAACAACUAAUCCAUAACAAUAAUCGAUAAUGAAAUUUGUUGUUAACAAAUGCCGUUAUCGAUUAGUUGGGCCGCUCACGUUUCGGGUUUGCGCGAUAACAAGAGAACACAGCCGCUUGCGAAAUGGUGGAGAGUUCAGGGUCACAUCAGCACGAAAGAAACAAGCCAGCAUGACUGAAUUUGUUUAAAGGAGAAAAACCCAUGCGUCCUCAACAAUCAGCC